rnacentral:tRNA from 1 species
UCCUCAGUAGCUCAAAGGUGGAGCAUCCGGCUGUUAACCGGAGGGCUGUAGGUUCGAAUCCUACCCGGGGAGCCA